rnacentral:rRNA from 1 species
AUUAGAUACCCGUGUAGUCCUAGCCGUAAACGAUACUCGCUAGGUGUCGGCCACGGUGCGACCGUUGUCGGUGCCGUAGGGAAGCCGUGAAGCGAGCCACCUGGAAAGUACGGCCGCAAGGCUGAAACUUAAAGGAAUUGGCGGGGGAGCACCACAACGGGUGGAGCUUGCGGUUUAAUUGGAUUCAACGCCGGAAAUCUUACCGGGACCGACAGCGAUAUGAAGGCCAGGCUGAAGACUUUGCCGGAUUAGCUGAGAGGUGGUGCAUGGC